CAAAUGACCUCUCUUACCACACCACUAACAUAAGGCCAUUGAUGGCAAAAUAUAUCGAACACAGAAAGUACAGGGCGCUGAACUCAAAACUGUUUCUUGAGCAGAUUAAGUGGUGGGACAUAGUAGAUAACAACCUGGUACAUAAUAUAUCAUCAGAAGCAAUUUGUAAAACUUACAGAUUACAUGUUUGCUACAGAGUAUAAAGCAGGAAUUUAAAGAAGACGAAAAAUCCAGGAUGAAAUCCUGGCUCCUUUAGUGAUAGUGACUUUUUCCUGUUGACUUCUGUGUGGCCGAGUCAAACCAAAAUAUACAGGACUUCACUUUUUCACAGAAGUGUGAAUCUGUUUGCAUCAGCAGAACUGUUCCUGGUUUACAAGAGGAAAAGUGAGAAUCUGGCAGGAGAAUCAACCAGAAAAGAUGUCUAGAAGUACAACAAACAUCUGACAUAUUGAAGGGAAAGAGAAGAGAAUGCAAAGAAAUCCAUGACUAUGUCUCUGAGUGAAUAAUCAGACUAUGAGUUUCUUUGAGGAAACUGAAAAUGAGGAAAUGUCAUCACAGUUUACUUCUUGGUUUGUUCAGAAAAAAAUGCUUUUACUUCUAGUUUUCUGAUGAGGAAUCACACAAAAAAAGAUAUCCUCACGGGGAAAAUGAUCUCACUUCUGCACACUUUGACAUGUUAGUCAUUCCCACUUGGUUCCUCUUGUUCAAUAGCUAAUCCUUGCCCAACUUAGGAAAAAUUAGUUGAAUUAGACUUUAUCAGGCUACCAGAUAGGGGUUUCCAGUAGAGAAAUAGUUCCUGUGUUCAUGUUUCCCUCUGACAUUGUGCCACUCUACUUGUUGCAACCAAUCCACUCAACAGAAACCCAUGGACAGUCUUACAGGAGUUCCUCAAUUGCCACAUUGUGGACAAGUCACAAUGAAUUGACCUACAGCUCCAAACUCAAACUAAAUCACAUCCAACUGCUGUUAAGAUCUUUGUGCAGAAAUGCAUCACGAAGGAGCUUUGAUUUAACAUAGACUUUAAGCAGCUGUCCUUAUGUCAGACUUAUUUCUCCAGCUUCCUUGUUUCUCCUCCAGAUAUUUCAUCUUCUCCAGCACUGGUCAGAUGAAAAAGGAAGCCCAUUAGAAAGAAUUAGGAAGAAUUACACAACUUGCUAGUAAAGUAACGAGGAUCACUCAAUAGCAGAAUUAAAGAAUGCUGUGCUCUGCAAGCCUUGCCUGCUCAUCUGUGCAUGCUCUACUGAGGGCUCACCAUGAGAAUCAGGAGCAAGAUCACCAGUGCUGCAAGAAGGAGCAGGAUUGGGCCCCAGUGAGGUCACCUUUUCACAAGAGUGGGAGCACUAUCAGGAAGAGCACCAAAUCACGCUUUUCAGAUCUAUCUCAUGUGCUCAUCUUGUCUCUUUUAGAAACCCAGGAAAGUCAUUUCUUUCCCCAGAUUUAGUCAUUACCUUCCUCAUUUUACAGCACUUUUACAGUUCAUGUUAGCCCAGAUACUGUGAUGCAAAGUGGAAUAGCAAAAGCAACAGAGCUCCAGUUUGAAAUGCUUCAAUAACAUUUUCUCUGAGUGCUUGACUCUUGUCAGGCCAAGUCCCUUCCUACACAGAGCUCAGACCAGAGUAACUGUAGGAAACAUCAUUUUUGUUUUUUCUGCCACCUUGUCUUGCUUGAUUCAGAUUAGCAACAAGUGUGCAUAAAAGGUCCCUCUUCAAGGCACAUCCACUGGGCAGGGAGCAGCACUCUUCACGCAUUGGGUACUGGUGAGUUCAGGGGGACUACAUGGCCAUCCUGUCCUGAGCUGCAGGCAGUGCGUGAGGGUCAUAUUUCUCCAUCAAAACUGGGGCACCACACAAGCUUCAUGGGUUGCCUGUAAAACACAGGGACUCUAAAGCCUUGGAAGCUGCCCAGAGACAGCCCCCAAAUCCCUAGUGUUUCAUGGCAAAGCAGUGAGGUAGAGCACAUCCAGCAGAAAAGCACCUCAAAGUCAGGCGUGCUGGAGGUUUCAUAAACUCCUGAAGACCCUGUAGAUAAGAAAGACAUGUAUUGCUCCAGACUUUAUUUCAUAACAUUUGUCUUGUCUGGAGUUAAGUCUUAACACUAGAUUAUAUCACUAGGUAGGACUAACUUUACUCUUAUCUUCAAAUAAAUGCUGCAGUGU
rnacentral:lncRNA from 1 species